GAUGAACGCUAGCGGCAGGCCUAACACAUGCAAGUCGAGGGGUAGACAUCUUCGGAUGUUGAGACCGGCGCACGGGUGCGUAACGCGUAUGCAAUCUACCUUUUGCAGGGGAAUAGCCCAGAGAAAUUUGGAUUAAUGCCCCAUAGUAUAAUGAUAAGGCAUCUUAUUAUUAUUAAAGUCACAACGGCAAAAGAUGAGCAUGCGUCCCAUUAGCUAGUUGGUAAGGUAACGGCUUACCAAGGCAAUGAUGGGUAGGGGUCCUGAGAGGGAGAUCCCCCACACUGGUACUGAGACACGGACCAGACUCCUACGGGAGGCAGCAGUGAGGAAUAUUGGACAAUGGGCGCAAGCCUGAUCCAGCCAUGCCGCGUGCAGGAAGACGGUCCUAUGGAUUGUAAACUGCUUUUAUACAGGAAGAAACACUCCCUCGUGAGGGAACUUGACGGUACUGUAAGAAUAAGGAU
rnacentral:rRNA from 1 species